CUAAAUUACAGCAAAUCCUCUUAUAAGUAUUCAUUUUUUUUAUUCUUUCUUUCUAACUUUUAAAAACUUAUAUUUUAUCUUCUUCUUAAUAUUUAAAGUUGUUGCAUUUAAUCCUCCUUCGUUAGGAUUUCAUUAUUAUUCUGUCUAUUUUUUAUAAUUUAUACAAAAAAUAUCCUUCAAAAUAACAUAAUUAUAUUAACAAAUGUUAUUUCUUCUUAUAAAAGAAGUAUGUGUAAUUUGGUUAUUUUGUCCUCUCUAUUAAUAUCGUACCCUUCGAAAAAUUUUUCCGAAAUUUUAAAGAAGAAACAUAUAGAUUUUUUUAAUAGUCAUGAAGGAAAAGUAAAAAAACGAAUAUUUACAGAAAAAUUU
rnacentral:lncRNA from 1 species